CCUACGGGAGGCAGCAGUAGGGAAUCUUUCACAAUGGGCGAAAGCCUGAUGGAGCAACGCCGCGUGGGUGAAGAAGGUCUUCGGAUCGUAAAACUCUGUUGUCAGAGAAGAAAGUGCGUGAGAGUAACUGUUCACGCUUCGACGGUAUCUAACCAGCAAGCCACGGCUAACUACGUGCCAGCAGCCGCGGUAAUACGUAGGGGGGAAGCGUUAUCCGGAUUUAAUGGGCGUAAAGGGAAAGUAGGCGGUUUUUUAAGUCUGGUGGGAAAGCCUGGGGCUUAACCCGUGGAGUGCCUUGGAAACUGGGUGACUUGAGUGAAGGAGAGGGAAGUGGAACUCCAUGUGUAGCGGUGAAAUGCGUAGAUAUCAGGAAGAACACCAGUGGCGAAGGCGGCUAUCUGGACUGUAACUGACGGUGAGGGUCGAAAGCGUGGGGAGCAAACAGGAUUAGAUACCCGAGUAGUC
rnacentral:rRNA from 1 species